rnacentral:misc_RNA from 1 species
AAGUCGUAACAAGGUUUCCGUAGGUGAACCUGCGGAAGGAUCAUUACCAAUUUAAUCCAAAAUCUCAACCCAAUGUGCACGAUGGUUGUUUGUCCUUGGGGCGAUUUUUGUUGGCAGUCUCUCUCAUUCUUUUAUGAUAGACUUUGGCCACCAAUAGUUGCCCCACCAUUGUUGACAAAAUCCUUUUUUGUUUUACGUUGGCAUCUAUGUCUUGAUUUAAUUUAUAAGUAUGACAACUUUUAACGGUGGAUCUCUUGGCUCGU